CAGAGGUCCCAAGCGUUGUUCGGAUUCACUGGGCGUAAAGGGUGCGUAGGUGGUGGGGUAAGUUUGAUGUGAAAGCUCCGAGCUUAACUCGGAAAUGGCAUUGAAUACUAUCCUGCUUGAGGUUUGGAGGGGGGACUGGAAUUCUCGGUGUAGCAGUGAAGUGCGUAGAUAUCGAGAGGAACACCAGUGGCGAAGGCGAGUCCCUGGACAACACCUGACACUGAGGCACGAAAGCUAGGGGAGCAAACAGGAUUAGAUACCCUGGUAGUCCUAGCUGUAAACGGUGCACGUUUGCUGUAAAAGGAAUCGACCCCUUUUGUGGCGAAGCUAACGCGAUAAACGUGCCGCCUGGGAAGUACGGUCGCAAGAUUA
rnacentral:rRNA from 1 species